CCGCACUAACCGGGGAGUUAGCGGUGCCCUGUACCUGCAACCCGCUUUAGCAGGGGUGAAUUCCGUUUAUGCGGUUAUGCGGUGUGCAGUCCGGGUUAUAUAAGUGGCGAUGAGAGACCGGUCCUGCGCAACGCCGAGCCGUGAACCAUGUCAGGCGGGGAACCGAGCAGCAUUAAGCGGUUUGUCGGCGUGUGCCGCGGGUGUGCCGAUUUCGAGUUAACUGUAUAAAUUCCGUGCAUAUCGUUUAAUCAAGUAACGGUGUGCGG
rnacentral:SRP_RNA from 1 species